GACGAACGCUGGCGGCGUGCUUAACACAUGCAAGUCGAACGGAAAGGCCCUGCUUUUGUGGGGUGCUCGAGUGGCGAACGGGUGAGUAACACGUGAGUAACCUGCCCUUGACUUUGGGAUAACUUCAGGAAACUGGGGCUAAUACCGGAUAGGAGCUCCUGCUGCAUGGUGGGGGUUGGAAAGUUUCGGCGGUUGGGGAUGGACUCGCGGCUUAUCAGCUUGUUGGUGGGGUAGUGGCUUACCAAGGCUUUGACGGGUAGCCGGCCUGAGAGGGUGACCGGCCACAUUGGGAAUGAGAUACGGCCCAGACUCCUACGGGAGGAAGCAGGGGGGAAUAUGGAAAAAUGGGCGGAAGCCGGAUGCAGAAACGCCGCGGGCGGGAUGACGGCCUUCGGGUUGUAAACCGCUUUCGCCUGUGACGAAGCGUGAGUGACGGUAAUGGGUAAAGAAGAACCGGCUAACUACGUG
rnacentral:rRNA from 1 species